rnacentral:ncRNA from 1 species
CAAUACUUGUCGGAGUGCCUAAGCUUAACUUAGGCUGAGAUCGCGAAAGCGGGAUCCGUGAACCUGAUCAGGUUAAUACCUGCGUAGGGAACAAGCUGCCUAAAAUG